rnacentral:rRNA from 1 species
AUUGAACGCUAGCGGGAUGCUUUACACAUGCAAGUCGAACGGCAGCGCGGACUUCGGUCUGGCGGCGAGUGGCGAACGGGUGAGUAAUGUAUCGGAACGUGCCCAGUAGCGGGGGAUAACUACGCGAAAGCGUAGCUAAUACCGCAUACGCCCUGCGGGGGAAAGCAGGGGAUCGUAAGACCUUGCACUAUUGGAGCGGCCGAUAUCGGAUUAGCUAGUUGGUGAGGUAACGGCUCACCAAGGCGACGAUCCGUAGCUGGUUUGAGAGGACGACCAGCCACACUGGGACUGAGACACGGCCCAGACUCCUACGGGAGGCAGCAGUGGGGAAUUUUGGACAAUGGGGGCAACCCUGAUCCAGCCAUCCCGCGUGUGCGAUGAAGGCCUUCGGGUUGUAAAGCACUUUUGGCAGGAAAGAAACGUCGCGGGCUAAUACCCCGUGGAACUGACGGUACCUGCAGAAUAAGCACCGGCUAACCACGUG